GCCCAGCAUAGAGGUACACACCUAUGGUCUCUCUACUUGGGAGGCUGAGGUAGGAGGGUCACUUCAGCUCAGGAAUUCUGGGCUGUCGUGCACCAUGCCAAUUGGGUGUCCACACUCAGUUUGACGCCAAUAUGGCCACCUCUUGGGAGCAGGGGACCACCAGGUUGCCUAAGGAGGGGUGAACCAGCCCAGGUCAGAAACAGAGCAGUUCUAUGUUGAUCAGUGAUGGGGCUGAGCCUGUGACUAGCAACAGCAUUCUUGCCUGACAACAUAGUGAGACCUUGUCUCUC
ensembl:misc_RNA Metazoa_SRP Metazoan signal recognition particle RNA